UACGAAGGGGGCUAGCGUUGCUCGGAAUCACUGGGCGUAAAGCGCACGUAGGCGGAUCUUUAAGUCAGGGGUGAAAUCCUGGAGCUCAACUCCAGAACUGCCUUUGAUACUGAGGAUCUUGAGUCCGGGAGAGGUGAGUGGAACUCCGAGUGUAGAGGUGAAAUUCGUAGAUAUUCGGAAGAACACCAGUGGCGAAGGCGGCACACUGGCCCGGUACUGACGCUGAGGUGCGAAAGCGUGGGGAGCAAACAGG
rnacentral:rRNA from 1 species